rnacentral:tRNA from 1 species
AAUUAAUGAACUUGUUUUAAAGUAUAUGUCUUGAAAACAUAAAAAAAAGGUUAUAAUCCUUUAUUAAUUU